UGGGGAAUCUUGCACAAUGGGGGCAACCCUGAUGCAGCGACGCCGCGUGAGUGAUGAAGCCCUUCGGGGUGUAAAGCUCUUUCGACAGGAACGAUAAUGACGGUACCUGGAGAAGAAGCUGCGGCUAACUACGUGCCAGCAGCCGCGGUAAUACGUAGGCAGCAAACGUUGUUCGGAAUUACUGGGCGUAAAGAGUGUGUAGGCGGCUUUGCAAGUUUGGUGUGAAAUCUCCCGGCUUAACUGGGAGGGUGCGCCGAAAACUGCAAGGCUCGAGUGCUGGAGAGGAGAGCGGAAUUCCUGGUGUAGCGGUGAAAUGCGUAGAUAUCAGGAGGAACACCGGUGGUGUAGACGGCUCUCUGGACAGUCACUGACGCUGAGACACGAAAGCGUGGGGAGCAAACAG
rnacentral:rRNA from 1 species